AAAUUUAAAAAAAUAAAGAAAACAUAAUUUAAAACAUGAACUAAAGCAGAGGGAUUAAUGGCACAAAUAUCCCAUCUUAGACCCAAAACACGCAGAUCUAGCCGCAUCAAGGUCGGGUCAUCGAAUAUGGCCGAUUUGGUACUGUUUUGAAGCCAUUGAAACCGGGCUUAAACAGUACCGUUUUAUCAUCUUCAUAAAACUAAAAAACAAAAUCCUAAACAUGCAUUUGACUAUUUUAAAAUAGAUUAACAAAGCCCUAUUCUCCUCCGCUGUUCGACGCCUCGCCGUUUUCGAUCCCUAAAAUUCUUGUCCAAGCUCCGAUUGCGACGAAGCGAACAGAGAUUCAAUCGACACCACCCUAAAGAUAAAUCCCUCACCUUUGCUUUAUUUCUCUUUUACAAACAACAAGUAUAACAAUAUUGAAGAAACAGAAAAGAAAAAAGAAAUCGAAAACAAAAAUGAGAUUUCAAAUCACCUUUCAAAACUUUAAUGGCUUUUUUUCUCUGGUAUUUUUUUACUGAUUUUGUAUUGUCUCCGUGUAAAAAAAUUACAAAGGUCUUUCCUUUUGUUUUAUAGCCAAAAUAUCCGAAAUAAAUAAAAAAAAUACAAUAUAUGUUUUUUCUGUGCUAUUUUUUCGUCCUAUUUGCAGGUACAGAGGCCAGCUGGCGGUGUACGGAGGCGGUGGCGCAGCACGUGCUUGGCUGGGCGACUGGAGGCGUGCAACGGCUGGUUCUGCUGUAUAGUUUUAGGGUUUCUGUUUGGGGUUUGUUAUUGGGUUUUGUUAUUGGGCUUGGGAUUGUGUCUGGGUAGUUCAAGUUAAAAACGAUUUGGGCCAUGUUGGGCCUAUAUAUUUGGACUGUGGACUAUUUAAAUUUGGUUUUAAUAUUUGGUUUGGGCCGGGUAAAAUGGACUAUCACAAUUAAAAUUAUUUUUAAAAAAUAUAAAAUUAUUAAGUGCAUAUAAUUUCCAAUUUCCACCGUUUCUUCUUCCCCACAGUUUCUUUCCAUCGUUCACCAUCAUCGUCGUCGUCUCCAAUUUUCUUCCCCAUUGUUUCUUCCUUCCACAGUUUCUUCUUCCUCAUUGUUUUUUUUUUUUGAAAACCUCAAAUUCCAUCCUUGAGCUUCGACCUUCCUUGUCUCCGAUUUUCUUUUCCGUUCUUCAGAUGGCCUCCAUUUUUCAACUGAAUCUCCAGUUCAUUUUCAUCACUACUAUCGGCCCCUAUUGUCCCCUAACAAACCCAUUACCCCUUAACAGUUCAUUUUUAUCAUUGUUAUCUCUAGUUCAUUUUCAUUAGAUGGCCUCCCACCAAACCCAUUGCCCCCUAACAGAACCGCCAUACCCAUCUACCAUCACCCUCUGUCCCUAUUAUAACCCACUUUCUCAUUGUUGAACCACCACGCCCAAAACCCCCGCAAUACAAUAACCC
rnacentral:lncRNA from 1 species